GGACGGGAUAAGUGCUGAAAGCAUCUAAGCAUGAAGCCCCCCUCAAGAUGAGAUUUCCCAACUUCGGUUAUAAGAUCCCUCAGAGAUGAUGAGGUUAAUAGGUUCGAGGUGGAAGCGUGGUAACACGUGGAGCUGACGAAUACUAAUCGAUCGAAGACUUAAUCAA
rnacentral:rRNA from 1 species